UCAAGAAACUUCCACAAUGGGCGAAAGCCUGAUGGAGCGACGUCGCGUGAUGGACGAAGUGCUUCGGCACGUAAACAUCUUUUAUGUGGGAUGAAAUUAUUGACAGUACCACAUGAAUAAGGGGCUCCUAACUCUGUGCCAGCAGGAGCGGCAAUACAGAGGCCCCAAGCGUUAUCCGGAAUCACUGGGCGUAAAGGGUGUCGAGGCGGUUGUAUUAGUCGUUCGUAAAAUCUACGAGCUUAACUUGUAGGCGGCGAACGAAACGGUACGACUUGAGGUUUGGAGAGGUGCGUGGAACUCACGGUGUAGGGGUGAAAUCCGUUGAUAUCGUGGGGAACACCAAAGGCGAAGGCAGCGCACUGGCCAAAAUCUGACGCUCACACACGAAAGCUAGGGUAGCGAAGAGGAUUAGAUACCCCCGUAGUCCCUGAGCGGGCUGGCAAGGCGCAU
rnacentral:rRNA from 1 species